rnacentral:rRNA from 1 species
GUUGUAUGGUUAAGURAUUAAGCGUAGACGGUGGAUGCCUUGGCAGUCAGAGGCGAUGAAGGACGUACUAACCUGCGAAAAGCGAUGGUGAGCUGGUAAGAAGCAUUUGAGCCAUCGAUGUCCGAAUGGGGAAACCCACCUGCAUAAGCAGGUAUCUUAGCGUGAAUACAUAGCGCUAAGAGGCGAACUCGGGGAACUGAAACAUCUAAGUACCAUAAGCGUAGACGGUGGAUGCCUUGGCAGUCAGAGGCGAUGAAGGACGUACUAACCUGCGAAAAGCGAUGGUGAGCUGGUAAGAAGCAUUUGAGCCAUCGAUGUCCGAAUGGGGAAACCCACCUGCAUAAGCAGGUAUCUUAGCGUGAAYACAUAGCGCUAAGAGGCGAACUCGGGGAACUGAAACAUCUAAGUACCCGAAGGAAAAGAAAUCAAUUGAGAUUCCGGCAGUAGCGGCGAGCGACCCCGGAGCAGCCCUUAAGCGGCUUAGGCGUUAGGUGAACAGGUUGGAAAACCUGGCAAUAAAGGGUGAUAGCCCCGUAACCGACGGCGCCUUAGRCGUGAAAACGAGUAAGACGGGACACGUGAUAUCUUGUCUGAAUAGGGGGGGACCAUCCUCCAAGGCUAAAUACUCCUGACUGACCGAUAGUGAACCAGUACCGUGAGGGAAAGGCGAAAAGAACCCCUGUGAGGGGAGUGAAAUAGAACCUGAAACCGUCUACGUACAAGCAGUGGGAGCCUCUUUUAUGGGGUGACCGCGUACCUUUUGUAUAAUGGGUCAGCGACUUAAUGUAAGUAGCCAGGGGCGAACAGGCGAACUCGGGGAACUGAAACAUCUAAGUACCCGAAGGAAAAGAAAUCAAUUGAGAUUCCGGCAGUAGCGGCGAGCGACCCCGGAGCAGCCCUUAAGCGGCUUAGGCGUUAGGUGAACAGGUUGGAAAACCUGGCAAUAAAGGGUGAUAGCCCCGUAACCGACGGCGCCUUAGRCGUGAAAACGAGUARGACGRGACACGUGAUAUCUUGUCUGAAYAUGGGGGGACCAUCCUCCAAGGCUAAAUACUCCUGACUGACCGAUAGUGAACCAGUACCGUGAGGGAAAGGCGAAAAGAACCCCUGUGAGGGGAGUGAAAUAGAACCUGAAACCGUCUACGUACAAGCAGUGGGAGCCUCUUUUAUGGGGUGACCGCGUACCUUUUGUAUAAUGGGUCAGCGACUUAAUG